AUUGAACGCUGGCGGCAUGCUUUACACAUGCAAGUCGAACGGUAACAGGCCUUCGGGUGCUGACGAGUGGCGAACGGGCGAGUAAUGCAUCGGAACGUACCCAGAGGUGGGGGAUAACGCCGCGAAAGCUGUGCUAAUACCGCAUGUGAUCUGAGGAUGAAAGCGGGGGACCGAGCAGCAAUGUUUGGCCUCGCGCCUUUGGAGCGGCCGAUGUCGGAUUAGCUAGCUGGUGGGGUAAAGGCCUACCAAGGCGACGAUCCGUAGCUGGUCUGAGAGGACGACCGGCCACACUAGGACUGAGACACGGCCCAGACUCCUACGGGAGGCAGCAAUGGGGAAUUUUGGACAAUGGGCGCAAGCCUGAUCCAGCAAUGCCGCGUGCGGGAAGAAGGCCUUCGGGUUGUAAACCGCUUUUGGCAGGAACGAAACGGUGUCCGCUAAUACCGGGCGCUAAUGACGGUACCUGCAGAAUAAGCACCGGCUAACUACGUG
rnacentral:rRNA from 1 species